rnacentral:rRNA from 1 species
GACGAACGCUGGCGGCGUGCCUAAUACAUGCAAGUGGGACGCAAGGAAACACACUGUGCUUGCACACCGUGUUUUCUUGAGUCGCGAACGGGUGAGUAACGCGUAGGUAACCUGCCUAUUAGCGGGGGAUAACUAUUGGAAACGAUAGCUAAUACCGCAUAAUAUUAAUUAUUGCAUGAUAAUUGAUUGAAAGAUGCAAGCGCAUCACUAGUAGAUGGACCUGCGUUGUAUUAGCUAGUUGGUAAGGUAAGAGCUUACCAAGGCGACGAUACAUAGCCGACCUGAGAGGGUGAUCGGCCACACUGGGACUGAGACACGGCCCAGACUCCUACGGGAGGCAGCAGUAGGGAAUCUUCGGCAAUGGACGAAAGUCUGACCGAGCAACGCCGCGUGAGUGAAGAAGGUUUUCGGAUCGUAAAGCUCGGUUGUAAGUCAAGAACGUGUGUGAGAGUGGAAAGUUCACACAGUGACGGUAGCUUACCAGAAAGAGACGGCUAACUACGUG